CCUACGGGGGGCAGCAGUGGGGAAUAUUGGACAAUGGGCGAAAGCCUGAUCCAGCCAUGCCGCGUGUGUGAAGAAGGCCUUCGGGUUGUAAAGCACUUUCAGUGGGGAAGAAAGCCUUGGGGCUAAUACCCUCGAGGAAGGACAUCACCCACAGAAGAAGCACCGGCUAACUCCGUGCCAGCAGCCGCGGUAAUACGGAGGGUGCGAGCGUUAAUCGGAAUUACUGGGCGUAAAGCGCGCGUAGGCGGUCUGAUAAGCCGGUUGUGAAAGCCCCGGGCUCAACCUGGGAAUGGCAUCCGGAACUGUCAGGCUAGAGUGCAGGAGAGGAAGGUAGAAUUCCCGGUGUAGCGGUGAAAUGCGUAGAGAUCGGGAGGAAUACCAGUGGCGAAGGCGGCCUUCUGGACUGACACUGACGCUGAGGUGCGAAAGCGUGGGUAGCAAACAGGAUUAGAUACCCGUGUAGUC
rnacentral:rRNA from 1 species